rnacentral:lncRNA from 1 species
UUUUAAUUUUAAUUUAAUUUUUUUUCCUGAUACAUUUCUAGGGUGGAGAAGAAUUCUUAAUGGUCUUCUCUUAUCAAGCAUGAAGCUCCAUAUCCACCAGAUCCUGGGGAUUCCAACCAUCCUGCUCAAAAUGAGUUGAAUUCCACAAUGCAUAAUGCUGAGGAAACCAUUCUAGAGUCUUGUGAUCAUAAUGAUCAGUCUCCUCUUCUCACAGGCUUUGAACAUAACAGACCUCAAGUCCGAAAUUGGGGUAGGUUGAUACUAAAUAAAGCCACCUAUAACCACUCUAUUUGUAUGUUUCUUAGCAGAACAUCAUCAUUUUAAGUAGUGCUUUAUCUCUAACUACGGUGGUUUUGAUGUUUUAUGCAGAAGAUCCUGAGUUUUCUUUUCCAAACGAGCGGUUUAGUAUUGGGAUCAUUCCUGCUGGAUCUAUUGAUGCGAUCGUGAUUUGGUAUUUUUAG